rnacentral:lncRNA from 1 species
CGAAGGCUCUCGGCGCGCCGCGGCCCGCAGGCACCCGGCACGCGCCUUCCCCGCCGCCAGGAUGCCCAAGAGGAAGGUCAGCUCCGCCGAAGGCGCCGCCAAGGAAGAGUCCAAGAGGAGAUCGGCGCGGUUGUCAGCUAAACCUCCUGCAAAAGUGGAAGCGAAGCCGAAAAAGGCAGCAGCGAAGGAUAAAUCUUCAGACAAAAAAGCGCAAACAAAAGGGAAAAGGGGAGCAAAGGGAAAACAGGCCGAAGUGGCUAACCAAGAAACUAAAGAAGAUUUACCUGCAGAAAACGGGGAAACGAAAACUGAGGAGAGUCCAGCCUCUGAUGAAGCAGGAGAGAAAGAAGCCAAGUCUGAUUAAUAACCAUAUACCAUGUCUCAUCAGUGGUCCCUGUCUCCCUUCUUGUACAAUCCAGAGGAAAAUUUUUAUCAACUAUUUUGUAAAUGCAAGUUUUUUAGUAGCUCUAGAAACAUUUUUAAGGAGGAGGGAAUCCCACCUCAUCCCAUUUUUUAAGUGUAAAUGCUUUUUUUUAAGAGGUGAAAUCAUUUCCUGGUUGUUUAUUUUUUGGUACAACCAGAAAGUAGUGUGGGAUAUUGAAUUAUGGGAGGCUCUGACUGUCUCGGGUGUCAGCUUAACAUUCCAUAGAUGGGGGGUUAGUUUUUAUAUCCCAUAAUACAAAGCAUAUUAAAUGGCAAUAUGGAGUCAGUCCUGCAUUUAAUGUCUUGAACAUUCUAAAUUACUUCUAUUACCAUGUUGUUUUUUAGUAGAAUUGUUUCCUAAAGAAAACCACUCUUUGAUCAUGGCGCUCUCUGUCAGAAUUGUGUGUACUCUGUAACAUCUUUGGUUGUGGUAGUCCUGUUUUCCUAAUAACUUACUGUGCUGUGAAAGAUUACAAAUUUGAACAUGUAGUGUACGUGCUAUUGAGUUGUGAACUGGUGGGCCGUAUGUAACAGCUGACCAACAUGUGAAGAUACUGGUACUUGAUAACCUCUUAAGGAAAAUUUGCUUCCAAAUUUUAAGCUGGAGAGUCACUGGAAUAACUUUAAAAAAGAAUUACAAUACAUGGCUUUUUAGAAUUUCGUUACGUAUGUUAAGAUUUGUGUACAAAUUGAAAUGUCUGUACUG